rnacentral:rRNA from 1 species
GAUGAACGCUGGCGGCGUGCUUAACACAUGCAAGUCGAACGAUGAAGCCCAGCUUGCUUGGUGGAUUAGUGGCGAACGGGUGAGUAACACGUGAGUAACCUGCCCUUAACUCGGGGAUAAGCCUGGGAAACUGGGUCUAAUACCGGAUAGGAGCGUCCACCGCAUGGUGGGUGUUGGGAAGAUUUAUCGGUUUUGGAUGGACGCGCGGCCUAUCAGCUUGUUGGUGAGGUCAUGGCUCACCAAGGCGACGUCCGGGACCAGGCCUGAGAGGGGGACCGGCCACACUGGGACUGAGCCACGGCCCAGACUCCUACGGGAGGCAGCAGUGGGGAAUAUUGCACAAUGGGAGCAAGCCUGAUGCAGCGACGCCGCGUGAGGGAUGACGGACUUCGGGUUGUAAACCUCUUUCAGUAGGGAAGAAGCGAAAGUGACGGUACCUGCCGAAGAAGCACCGGCUAACUACGUG